AUUGAACGCUGGCGGCGUGCCUAACACAUGCAAGUCGAGCGGUAACAGGUGUAGCAAUACAUGCUGACGAGCGGCGGACGGGUGAGUAACGCUUGGGAAUCUGCCUGAUAGUGGGGGACAACCCGGGGAAACUCGGGCUAAUACCGCAUACGCACUACGGUGGAAAGCCGGGGACCGCAAGGCCUGGCGCUAUCAGAUGAGCCCAAGUCGGAUUAGCUAGUUGGUAGGGAACGGCCUACCAAGGCGACGAUCCGUAACUGGUCUGAGAGGACGACCAGUCACACCGGAACUGAGACACGGUCCGGACUCCUACGGGAGGCAGCAGUGGGGAAUAUUGGACAAUGGGCGAAAGCCUGAUCCAGCGACGCCGCGUGGGUGAAGAAGGCCUGCGGGUUGUAAAGCCCUUUCGGGUGGGGAAGAAAAGCCUCGAGUUAAUACCUCGGGGUCUUGACGUAACCCAUAGAAGAAGCACCGGCUAGCUCUGUGCCAGCCGCCGCCGUAAG
rnacentral:rRNA from 1 species